CUUCAUGUUUGUUAUUAUUGUUUAUUAUUAUCCUCUGUUUACAUCCUUUUACCUGGUAGGUUUAGCUUCAUGUUUGUUAUUAUUGUUUAUUAUUAUCAGCUGUUUACAUCCUUUUACCUGGUAGGGUUAGCUUCAUGUUUGUUAUUAUUGUUUAUUAUUAUCAGCUGUUUACAUCCUUUUACCUGGUAGGGUUAGCUUCAUGUUUGUUAUUAUUGUUUAUUAUUAUCAGCUGUUUACAUCCUUUUACCUGGUAGGGUUAGCUUCAUGUUUGUUAUUAUUGUUUAUUAUUAUCCUCUGUUUACAUCCUUUUACCUGGUAGGGUUAGCUUCAUGUUUGUUAUUAUUGUUUAUUAUUAUCAGCUGUUUACAUCCUUUUACCUGGUAGGUUUAGCUUCAUGUUUGUUAUUAUUGUUUAUUAUUAUCAGCUGUUUACAUCCUUUUACCUGGUAGGUUUUGCUUCAUGUUUAUUAUUCUCUGUUUACAUCCACAGCAGCUCAUUAACCUCUUCUGUACCACAGACUGUAUAAUAGAAAUGUUGUCCUG